AUCGCUUCUCGGCCUUUUGGCUAAGAUCAAAGUGUAGUAUCUGUUCUUAUCAGCUUAAUAUCUGAUAGGGCCCCCAUCGGGUGCCUAUUGAUGUUAAACUAAUUUUUGGAACAUGUACCAGUUUCGCAAUUCAUUGCAGCUGGUACGCGCGGUUAUGUUGGCUUGCACUGUCCCAACGUUAGCCGCAUUUAAU